rnacentral:rRNA from 1 species
CCUACGGGGCGCAGCAGUGGGGAAUAUUGGACAAUGGGGGGAACCCUGAUCCAGCGACGCCGCGUGAGUGAAGAAGUAUUUCGGUAUGUAAAGCUCUAUCAGCAGGGAAGAAAGAAAUGACGGUACCUGACUAAGAAGCCCCGGCUAACUACGUGCCAGCAGCCGCGGUAAUACGUAGGGGGCAAGCGUUAUCCGGAUUUACUGGGUGUAAAGGGAGCGUAGACGGUUACGCAAGUCUGGAGUGAAAGGCGGGGGCUCAACCCCCGGACUGCUCUGGAAACUGUACGGCUGGAGUGCAGGAGAGGUAAGUGGAAUUCCUAGUGUAGCGGUGAAAUGCGUAGAUAUUAGGAGGAACACCAGUGGCGAAGGCGGCUUACUGGACUGUAACUGACGUUGAGGCUCGAAAGCGUGGGGAGCAAACAGGAUUAGAUACCCCGGGUAGUC